rnacentral:rRNA from 1 species
GNAUGCAAUUAUACAGCGNCGGGNCNAUAUNUUAUCGNUUAUUUGAGAGUACCUUACUACAUGGAUAACCGUGGUAAUUCUAGAGCUAAUACAUGCUAAAAAUCCCGACUUCGGAAGGGAUGUAUUUAUUAGAUUAAAAACCAAUGCCCUCUGGGCUCCUCGGUGAUUCAUGAUAACUUCUCCAAUCCCAUGGGCUUGCCCCGGCGAUGGCUCAUUCUAAUUUCUUCCCUAUCCACUUUCGAUGUUUGGGUAUUGGCCAAGCAUGAUCGCGACGGGUAACGGGGAAUAAAAAAAGGUGGCUUAUAUUUGUUAUUAUAAUCUUCGGAUUUUAAUAGUAAAUAUAAGUCGGCGACGAUUCAUUCGAAUUUCUGCCCCAUCAACUCUCGAUGGUAGGAUAGAGGCCUACCAUGGUCGCAACGGGUAACGGGGAAUACCANGGCNUGCCUNAGUGGNGGCCCGGUGAANANAAGGAUGCUCAAGGGGGGGGUCUNUNUUUACUCGGUGCGNUUUNCUGUGUNUGUNUGUCUUGCACCAGCAUNCUAAGUNCAGNA